rnacentral:rRNA from 1 species
AGUGAACGCUGGCGGUAGGCCUAACACAUGCAAGUCGAACGGCAGCACAGUAAGAGCUUGCUCUUACGGGUGGCGAGUGGCGGACGGGUGAGGAAUACAUCGGAAUCUACUUUUUCGUGGGGGAUAACGUAGGGAAACUUACGCUAAUACCGCAUACGACCUACGGGUGAAAGCAGGGGAUCUUCGGACCUUGCGCGAUUGAAUGAGCCGAUGUCGGAUUAGCUAGUUGGCGGGGUAAAGGCCCACCAAGCGACGAUCCGUAGCUGGUCUGAGAGGAUGAUCAGCCACACUGGAACUGAGACACGGUCCAGACUCCUACGGGAGGCAGCAGUGGGGAAUAUUGGACAAUGGGCGCAAGCCUGAUCCAGCCAUACCGCGUGGGUGAAGAAGGCCUUCGGGUUGUAAAGCCCUUUUGUUGGGAAAGAAAAGCAGCAGGUUAAUACCCCGCUGUUCUGACGGUACCCAAAGAAUAAGCACCGGCUAACUUCGUG